GUGCUCGCUUCGGCAGCACAUAUACUAAAACUGGAAUGAUACAGAGAAAGAUUAGCAUGGCCCCUGUGCAAAGGUAACCCGUAAAUUUGUGACAUGUUCCAUAUUUUA
ensembl:snRNA U6 U6 spliceosomal RNA